UGUAGCUCAAUGGUAGAGCACUUGCCUAGCAUGUAUGAGGCCCUGGGUUUGAUCCCAGGCA
rnacentral:tRNA from 1 species